GGGAACGAAGUUUUUAUUUAGUAAUUUAUUUAUUUUUAUUUCAAGCAACAAAAAUCCAACCCCUUCACCUACCUCUCGCUCUCAAUUUACUGUUCCUCUUCACUUUUACUUUUCUCUCUCUAUAUCUAUCGAUUAUAUGCACACUCCAUAUAUGCAUCUAUACUUCUCUAUAUCUUUAUAUGACAUACAGUGUCGUGGAAAUAGAUUCUGUGCUUUUUUCUCCAGCGAGCGAUCUGAUUAGUAAAAGUCGUCGGAGUGUCAACGGUUAAUUUUCCGGCACCAAUUUUUUUGGAUUCCGAUUACUGUUUCACUGGAGAAAUGUUAUUAGUUAUUUCGACUGAUUUCUAUUUGUUUUUGAAGGUUUGUCGUGGAACCGUCCUAAUUAGGGUAUUGAAAUUUUGAAAUGUUAGGGCUUUUUUGCGUGUCUUGGCAAAUUAUCUUGCAUUGAUAAUUUUGAAUUUUUUUGUUGGACGGCAUUAUUUGGAGAGUUAGGAUUUGGGCUUGUGUAAAGUUAAGAGAAGUGAAACUACAGGUAUGCCGCAGAGUUCGAGGCACAAAUCACAUAAACAUAGCAAACACAGUUCGAAGGAGGCUAAGGAUAAGGAUAGUUCGGAUUCUGAAGAAGAUGUGAAGAUGAAGGAAAAAAGUAGCAAAGGUGAUUCGAUGAGGGCUUAUCGGGAUUCUGCCAGUGGUGAGAAGCAUAAAAUUUCAUCGCAGGUCCGAAAAGGCAAGGAUUGUAAAGAUCUGAGUGGUGAUGGGAACGGUGAGGCUUCAGAGGAGUACGUGUCUUCAAAGAGGAGAAAAGAGAAAGCUCACCUCAAAAAGGAGAGGGCUGAUGUAACUGGAAGAGUUAGUGGUGAUAGGUGGGAUGGGGCUGGAGAGGAGAGAGGGCGCAGUGAUAGGAAUGUGGAGAAGGAAAUAAAUAAAGGGGGAAGUUCAAAAAUUGACAUGAAGUUGAAGGAAAGUAAUAAUAAAGGGGAAAGUUUGAGAGUUGAUUCUAAGAGUAAGAGUAAGAGGCAUGAGAGUGGAACUGGGGGUGAGAACAAGGAGGAGAAUGUGAAAUCCUUGGUGGUGGAGAAAGAUGAAAGUAAAAGGCAAUCAAAGAGGAAAUCUGAGAGGAUUUCUUUGGAAUUGAGGGAAGGGAAGGAACUGAAGGUUAAGGAAAGCGGGUUGGACAAAGACAAAAAAGAUGGUCAGGAGAGUAAGCACGGUGAUGCUGAGGUGAAGGCUCUGGAUGGGAAUCUUGAGAACAAUCAUAACUCACAGUUGGUUGAUUUAAGUGGAGAUAGACAGCGUAAACGUGGUAGAGAAAAUACUGGUAAGGUUAUUAUUGUGGUAUACAUAGGGCUGAUUUAUGGCCUUUGUUUUUGACAUGCCUACUCUUGUUUACUGUCAUGGUUGAUCCAAGUUGUAGCAAUAUUGUUUAAAGACUUCGUCCUUUUUGUGAUAUUCUAACAUGCCAGUAAAGUUCUGAUCGUAGUCUUGCAAUUGCGAAAUUUAAAAAUAUUGUACAAAGGUCUUCUUGGAUAUUUUGAACCAAAAAGCUAUGUGAGUUGGUUUGAAUUUUUUUGUUCUUAUGGCCUCCAUUUGGGAAGAAUUUAUAAAUGAUUUAAUGUAUUAAUAGAUAGAAUUGAGUGUGGAUAGCACAUGUGGUCCAUUGGAAUGUGUGGUUGAAAAUGUACUCUGACUGAGGAGGCAUAAUUGCUUUGUGGUCCGUGCUUUCAGAAUUAUGCCUUCACAUCAUAUUCAAACUUUCAGUUGUAAUUUACUAUAAAUAACUAUCUAAAAUUGAUAUUACUCUGUCAUGUAUCUGUUGGGCCCAGCACUAAAGGCCAUUUUGAAAAACCCUAAAUCUUCUAAAAAAUUUUAAUUGUUUCAAACAGAAAACUAAAGUUUGGUGUGCAAGAAUAUUCAGCCUGUUAACUAAGUAAAUUUGUUGAUGGUGAUCUUGUUAUUUUUUUUUUUUUUUUGACAACCGUGGAUGUCCGGGCCAGCUUACGCGCACCUCGAUUAAUUUCAUAGGGCCCUAAAAUUUUUAGUCGGGUAUUCACCGCAGUGGUCUUAAGAAAAUUCGAACUGAUGAUUAUUGGGGAGCAAACCCAAGGUCUAACCACUGAACUACCUCUCAAAAUUGAUGGUGAUCUUGUUAAUUAUUAGACCUUCUCUGGCAUACACUCUGGCCUAGGCAUUCUUCAGUGUAGGUCUCCUUCAUGGUCUCCACUGUUUUAGUAUUCAUUGUAUCUCUGACAUAUAAUAGGAUUGCUUUAAGAGUAUCUCUGAAUUUAUUGAAGACGAAAGAAGUUUAAUGGAGAACUCAAGCAGAAGCCUUAAAAUACUCCAUUCAAUAACUUUUCUCCUAAGUAUCCAAUUGAUAUGGUUGAUUUUUGGACAUCACUGGUUGGGAUGGGAUCCUAGGUUGACCAUUAGAAUUAGAAUUUUGGUCUUAUUGAGCUCCAAUAUUAGAGGAAAGUGGUGACAGUGAUAUAAUUUACUUUUUAUUCUCUCCGAGUGCGGAUUGGGACAAAUUAUUUUCCAAAAGGUAAUUUGAGCAAAUGCUGUAAAAAGUCACUCAUAAAACUUUGAGGUAUAAAUAUACAAUCAUAUUGGAUCAGCUCCUUUUUAGUUAUUGACUAACUGUGGAAUUACGCAUAAUUUUUAGAAGAGAUUUCUAUUUAUAUUAGGUUGCACAAACAGAUAUCAUUAUUAUUAUUGUUCUUCGCCUUUCAGUGCAUUGAUUGUUCUUCUCUGUUUUCACGUCUGAAAAUUUGCAGACUCUACACAUGAUAUAUGGUGUUGACUGAGUACUUUUGAUUUGCUGAAUUUUAAAAGUUUACUUUGAAUUAUAGGCAUUUUUUCUAAUUGGUACACAUUUAAUGGCCUUUUUUUUUUAGUAGAGUAAGAGUGAGAAAGGAAAGAGGAAGAAGAGGAGAGAAGAAAGGGGAGAGAAUAUAGAAGAAAUUGGUGGAGAAAGUAUUAAUUUAUUUCAUAAUCAAAGUGUACCUUGAUAACUUCUGAUAAAUAAUAACAACUCAAAAUGAUGAAGUUCUAGAUAAUUGAAACUACUAAAAUAUCAGUUAAUAUCUAUGUUCAAAUCCCAUCCCAUCUUCAAAAUUAUAUCUUUAACCAUAUCUUCAUUCCCAUCAGUAGUCUUUAUUUUUAUAGAGUGUUUAUUGAAAGUGGAAUUUUUUUCUUGCUAUUUGUAUAUGUUGCUUGUAAUGCUUUGAAAGGCAACAAAAUCUGGUUUAGUCAUUGCUCACAACGUUAGCAGUGACCCUUUGUAUUUGGCUAGAUAACUCGGAAAGAUUUUGUUUUUAUCAGUUUUGCAGAAGUGUAGCCAUAUAUAGGGUAUAUCAGCAAGAUAUCCCUUGCCGAAAUUUGAUUCCUAAUGUAUGGAAAGGAUAGGCUGCUGAUGCUCUGUGGUGUUAUUUUUGUUUGGUUGCUUGAAUGACCUUGGAGUAGCUAGUACUUUCAGUUUAUCAAUUUUUAUUUUCUUUUUGCAGCAUGGCAUGUGCAAGAUGGUUUACGAAAUCCCAAAUUAGAGAAGGAACUUGAGAAAGGGGUACAAAGGACGAGAGAAGGUUUUACCGAUAGAGAAAAUGAUGACAAGCGAUUGUCCACAAGGAAUGACUGUAGUAAGGAUGUAAAAAACAGAGAAGAAAGGCAUCAUAUGGGUGGAAGUAAUGGAGACAGGCAUGCGGAUGAUGGUGACAGAGAUGAUAGACACAGAAGUAACAAGCAGUGGGAAGAUGCUGACAAAGACAUGAAACAUCGGGAUACUAAGCAUCAAGAAAAUAGUGAUAAAGAAGCCAGACAUAUUGAUGGUUCACAUCGAGAAAAUAGUAAUAGAGACAGUAGAUGCAGGGGUGAAAAGUAUCGUGAAGAUGGUGAACGAGAAAAGAGACGCAGGGAUGACAAAUAUCGGGAAGCUCCUGAAAGGGAUGGGCGACGCAGGAAUGAUAAGUACAGCGAAGAUGCUGAGAGAGAGAGUAGUUAUAGAGAAGGCAGUGACAGAGAUAAUAGGUGUAAGGAAGAGCCACAUUUGGAUGAUACUGAAAAAUACAGUCGGCAUAAGGAUAGAAAUCUAGUGGAUGAUUUUGAUAGAGAAAAGAAACCUACAGAGAGUAAGUACAGGGAUGAGCAUGUUUCAAGAGAUCUGGUUGGUAACAAGUCUAACACUGAGCACUCAAGGGAUGAUGGUUAUGCUGGUGAUCGCCAUUCUGGAAAAUCAAUCAUGUAUGAUGAUGGUGUAAGCCUGGAUGAUCGAAUCAUCAGGAAUAGAGAUGAUCAAGGUACGAGAAGAAGUGAUGCCGUAGAGGAUUUUGGUAAUAUUGGACCCCGUUGUACCCAGGAUCAAAGAUCUGAUGCAGAAAAGAAAUCUGCAAGCAGCGCGAGAAUGGACGGACUUACUAGAGGGAGGUCUACCUCUAGAAAUGCUGAUGUAGAGAUUUCUUCUAGCCACAGUAGACGACGCAGUUCUCCCCGCUCUAGUUCUCAUGCUUCAAGGGAGCACCACAGGUACCCAUUUACGUUCUGUUUUUAUUACUAAUUUCUUAACGCAUUGUUAUGUUUUUUAGGAAUAAGGAUAGAUAUCUUGGAUACAGUAAGCAUCUUUUGAUCAUAUGUUAGAAUUGCAAUAUGCAUUUAUUUUCUUCCAAGCAUUGGAUUAUUUUCUGUGAUGUACUAUUAGUUUGAAUAAAAUAGGAUACACUGCACCAGUAAGCAACACGAAUUUUGAGAGGGAGAGGGAGAGGGUGGGAAUGAAGGCAAUGAAUUUAUGUUCAUGCUACAAAGCAUGAAACCAAAAGUGAAGAUUUUGUGAAAUUUACUGUUUCUCCCACUUUCAUCUAGAAUUUUGUUUUUUAUUAUUAUUAUUAUUAUUAUAUAUAUAUAUAUAUAUAUAUAUAUAUAUAUAUAUAUAUAUAUAUAUAUAUAUAUAUAUAUAUAUCCCCCCUCUAAAAAUCCUCAAGCUCUCAUAAUCUUUGGUGUAUGAGAUUUGGAUAUGCUAAAGCAGCUGUCAGCAUAUAUAUUGAAUACUGUAUCUCGUCGAGUGUGAUUGUUGCAUUAGAUAUGGUGUUAAAAUUUCAAGGACUAGCAAAGAAGAAGUAAAUGUCUUGUUUGUAGAAAUGCUACUCUUAUCACAUUAUAGAGCUACUUUAGACAGACAACAUCCCAUUUAUUUGCUUGAAUGUUUGAUUUAGGAAACAUCGGAAUUAGCGUUUUUAUUGACCAGGUUAUAUUUUACUAAUUGUAGCAAUUUCUUCAUUCCUAUGCUAGUGAAUUUCAUUAAUGUUGGGUGUUUAGUUUUCUAUUACCCUGAUAUCUUUCUUUCAUUUGAUCCCAUGAUGAAUUGUCCUCUUGUGCAUUCCAUAUGUGGGAUUUUUCCUUGUCAAAGCAAUAUGUAUCGAGUUGAACUAAAUGUGGGAUAGUAUUGUUUUCUUCGUUUUUGGGGGUAGUUUGUUGGUUCGUACUUUUGUUGUCUCGAUCAAAGACAUAAACAUCAUGUAGUCUUCCCAUUCUUGUUCUACAGCCUAAACACUAAACUUGAAUUUGGUUUGCCACAUAAUUCUUUUGCUACUUAAUUGGUCUUUCUCAAUAUUUGAGUUGCCUCAAAUAGAUUUAUCCCGAUGUUCAUAUGCAACAUCUUUAGAUUUCUUCACGAGUUUAUUAUAACAGAUAUUUGCAUGCCUCUAUUUUUUCAGACUUUCUAAUGAAAUCAAGUAUAGCGAUUAUGCUUAUGAAGAGAAAAUUCAGUACAAGACAACUUCUACUAGAGAUUAUACUAGUUCUCCUGGAGGGGCUGAGAAGAUUUCUUCGUCUCGAUCCCUGGAGAAACUUGGUCAAAAAGGCAGCCAUCUCGGAGAGUUGUCAGCUGAAAGGCAUCUGAAAUCAGAUAUUCUCACCUCACCCCUGCAACUGAUAUCUAAGUCCCCAUCAUCUAGCACUGAUCGGAGACACUCGAGUAAAUCUAAUGUAAGGAAGAGUCUUGACAUUGAAGACUCAGCACAGGAUAAUAGUGGUUCUAAGGAUGUAAAGGAUUACUUUGGUAAGGAGGGCAGGGGAAACCGUGAACUGGCCAUGGGCGCCUUUCCUGGAGAUGAAAUUUCACAGCCUGAUGGAGAUACCUUAUCUGUUUCUUCACCUUUUAGUAGAAAUAGCCGUUUAUCUCACGGUUCCAAGCCCUUGCUACCCCCUCCCUUUAGGACAGGGAUGGAUAGCCAUUGUAGGAGGAUUGGUGAUCCCGACUUUGGAAGGGUUCAAGGAAAUGCAUGGGGAGGUGUUCCAAACUGGCCUUCACCUGUGGCAAAUGGUUUCAUUCCUUUUCCACAUGGCCCACCUCCUGUUGGUUUUCAUUCCAUGAUGCAGCAGUUUCCAGUUCCAUCGAUAUUUGGUGUUAGACCUUCAGUGGAUUUAAACCAUUCUCAGGGUCCUUACCGUAUGCCUGAUGCUGACAGCUUUUCUGGCAAUGUGCCCUCCAUGGGAUGGCACAACCCAGUGGAUGAUUCACGUCCUCUGCCAUUACAUGGUUGGAAUUCAAGUAAUGCUGUGUUCAGUAAUGAAUCUCAAACAUAUGAGAGGCCAGACUGGAACCCUUCUAGGACCUUUCCAGGUGGUCAGGGCUGGGAGACAAGUGGAGAUUUGUGGAAGGGCCCAAACAGAACUGCAAGCAUGGAUAGGCCAUCUUCUUCUGAGAAACAGAAUAAUUUCGUUCAGGGCGAUGAAAUUUCAGCUGGCCAGAAUGAACAGACGCAACGUGAUCAGCAGGCUGAUAGUGCUGACAUUAGUCAAUUGAGUGAUAGCUUGGAGAAGAAUUCCGGUGCUGAAGCUCCCCAUAUUAGUCAAGAAGAUACUAGUGACUAUGCUAAAAUGUCAAGAAAGGAUGAUGGACAGUUUUGCCAUGUGUACCUUUCCAAGCUUGAUAUUUCUGCAGAUCUUACUGAACCUGAGUCAUUUAAGCAGUGGGCAAGCAUAAUUAAUACAGAUCAAAACAUGAUUUCUGACUCAGAAGAUUCUAAAAUUCUAUACACUGAGGUAAAGAUGACCACUCUGUACAUUGUCUUAGUGCGUUGUUUUAUUUAUCAAAAUUUAAGUCUAAUACAUUUUUCUUUUCCCAUGGCAGCAAGCGGAAACUCAAGUGGCAUCUUCUGGAAAAACCUUGAGUAUUUCACUUUUUGCUGUAAAAAAUGAUUCUGUCUUCCAGGUACACACAGUUGUCCUGAAUGGUAUAUGCGCAUUUGUGGUUAAAAGAAAUACUUUUUAAUCUAAAACACUGCCAUGCAUUGGAUAGCUCAUAUUUGAUUCCAUCUACCACUUUUCCCGCGAAGUAAUAUCGGUGCAUAUGCAAACUAGUCUUGUAUAGCCUUUCUAUCGUAGAAGUAGAUUGAAAUGACAGUUUGUGGGCACCUGUCGUGCGGUUUGAUCAAGGCCUUCUGGAAAUGCCCUAGUUUUUCUGUUUGGUAUUCUGAAUAAUUGUCAUUGAUUGUAGCACAUCAUCUUGCACAAAGUUUUAAGGUAGCUAGAGGUGCCCAACGUAAUAGAAAUCACUUUCUGUGCUUGGUAUGCAGCAGGACCAUACACACUUGGACAGCACAAUGGAUGAAUUUUUUGUUUAUUUUUGUUCUUUAAUACUCUGUGGCUUAUCUUAGUGAAAAUAAUGCAAAGUAGCUUUUAUGAAUCACGUAAUUGUAACUGUAAUUUGAUCAUGCACAACUCAAUAAAUGGUGAACUAAUCGUUACUCAAUGUUCCCUUGUGAUUGCAGAAAGCAAUGUCCCAUUAUAAGAGGCAGACAGAAGUCUCUAGAGUUAUAAAUGAAGAGAAGCUCUCACUUUUGAGCAUGAAGGUUGAGUCCAUUCCUAAAUCGAAUCAGGAAGAAUUGAAUGAAGAGAAUGAUAAAGUUGAGGAGCUGUCUUCAGCUGGUGAUAUGCAAGACACUGAAGAUGAUCCUCCAAACUCUAACGAGGUGGUUGAGCAUCCAAAUUGCUCUCCGAUGAUGGAAGGGAGUUCUAGGAACCUGCAUCAGGAGCUCAGUGUACCUGUUAUUAUGAACAUAAUGGAGGAAUCAGAAGAGUUGAUUCCUGCCUCGGACCAGGUCAACAGGGAUGUGGAUAUGGAUUCAAAUCUGGAGAUGCAGGAGCAUAUUGCCGAGAACCAUUUAUCCAUGGAUGAUGAAGGAUCCGGUACUCAUUUGCUUGCUGGGAUUGAAGAGGUGCCUAUGGAAUCUGCAGGUAAUGUUCAGGAACUGGAGUCAUUUUCUACUAAAUGUGGUACCUUACUUAACUCUGACAUGCCGUCUGAGGCAUGCGAGGGAAUAAUGCCAGAGUCUGAGUACGGGAUAGUAAAUUUAAGCCGGAUACAUAAUUCUCCUGAAAGUACACAUUAAAACAAUUUAUUUUUCUCAAAGUUCUUGGAAUGCCAUUUCGUAUUUCCAAUCUCCAUCAUCCAUGUUUGCUGUUCGGUGCUCUUCAUUGAUAAGAUUAGUGUUUUUUUCAGUUCUAUUUACUCCAAUUUUGUGCCCAGAUGUGAAAUUUCGGCCUCUCGUUUGAUUUUCGUCGUGGUUGCGACUUAAUUUUUGGUCUUAUAAUAUAAAAAUAAGUCAUUUUUGAUUUUCAACCCGUCCUGUUUCAAAUUUAUUUAAAAUAAAGCUUAG
rnacentral:lncRNA from 1 species